rnacentral:rRNA from 1 species
GACGAACGCUGGCGGCGUGCUUUACACAUGCAAGUCGAACGGUGAAGGUGGAGCUUGCUCCGCCGGAUCAGUGGCGAACGGGUGAGUAACACGUGAGCAAUCUGCCCUUGACUCUGGGAUAACUGCGGGAAACUGUAGCUAAUACCGGCUACGACACCUUGGGGCAUCCCAGGGUGUGGACAGAAUUCCGGGCAAGGAUGAGCUCGCGGCCUAUCAGCUAGUUGGUGAGGUAAUGGCUCACCAAGGCGACGACGGGUAGCCGGCCUGAGAGGGUGACCGGCCACACUGGAACUGAGACACGGUCCAGACUCCUACGGGAGGCAGCAGUGGGGAAUAUUGCACAAUGGGCGAAAGCCUGAUGCAGCAACGCCGCGUGAGGGAUGAAGGCCUUCGGGUUGUAAACCUCUUUUAGCAGGGAAGAAGCGAAAGUGACGGUACCUGCAGAAAAAGCACCGGCUAACUACGUGCCAGCCGCCGCCGUAA